UACGAAGGGGGCUAGCGUUGUUCGGAUUUACUGGGCGUAAAGCGCACGUAGGCGGAUCGAUCAGUCAGGGGUGAGAUCCCAGAGCUCAACUCUGGAACUGCCUUUGAUACUGUCGAUCUGGAGUAUGGAAGAGGUGAGUGGAAUUCCGAGUGUAGAGGUGAAAUUCGUAGAUAUUCGGAGGAACACCAGUGGCGAAGGCGGCUCACUGGUCCAUUACUGACGCUGAGGUGCGAAAGCGUGGGGAGCAAACAGG
rnacentral:rRNA from 1 species